rnacentral:rRNA from 1 species
CCCGGGNGCGUCGCANCCCCGGACCAAGGCGCCCGCCGGAGGACCAACCUAAAACUCUUAUUGUAUACCCCUCGCGGGUUUUUUUAUAAUCUGAGCCUUCUCGGCGCCUCUCGUAGGCGUUUCGAAAAUGAAUCAAAACUUUCAACAACGGAUCUCUUGGUUCUGGCAUCGAUGAAGAACGCAGCGAAAUGCGAUAAGUAAUGUGAAUUGCAGAAUUCAGUGAAUCAUCGAAUCUUUGAACGCACAUUGCGCCCGCCAGUAUUCUGGCGGGCAUGCCUGUCCGAGCGUCAUUUCAACCCUCGAACCCCUCCGGGGGGUCGGCGUUGGGGAUCGGCCUCCCUCACCGGGGGCCGUCUCCGAAAUACAGUGGCGGUCUCGCCGCAGCCUCUCCUGCGCAGUAGUUUGCACACUCGCAUCGGGAGCGCGGCGCGUCCACAGCCGUUAAACACCCCAAAUUUCUGAAAUGUUGACCUCGGAUCAGGUAGGAAUACCCGCUGAACUUAAGCAUAUCAAUAAGCGGAGGAAAAGA